UAGGGAAUCUUCGGCAAUGGGGGCAACCCUGACCGAGCAACGCCGCGUGAGUGAAGAAGGUUUUCGGAUCGUAAAGCUCUGUUGUAAGAGAAGAACGAGUGUGAGAGUGGAAAGUUCACACUGUGACGGUAACUUACCAGAAAGGGACGGCUAACUACGUGCCAGCAGCCGCGGUAAUACGUAGGUCCCGAGCGUUAUCCGGAUUUAUUGGGCGUAAAGCGAGCGCAGGCGGUUAGAUAAGUCUGAAGUUAAAGGCUGUGGCUUAACCAUAGUACGCUUUGGAAACUGUUUAACUUGAGUGCAGAAGGGGAGAGUGGAAUUCCAUGUGUAGCGGUGAAAUGCGUAGAUAUAUGGAGGAACACCAGUGGCGAAGGCGACUCUCUGGUCUGUAACUGACGCUGAGGCUCGAAAGCGUGGGUAGCAAACAGGAUUAGAUACCCUGGUAGUCCACGCCGUAAACGAUGAGUGCUAGGUGUUGGGUCCUUUCCGGGACUCAGUGCCGCAGCUAACGCAUUAAGCACUCCGCCUGGGGAGUACGACCGCAAGGUUG
rnacentral:rRNA from 1 species